GGAUUUUCAGCACUUGGUUUAGUUGUCAACAAAAAGCUAGGAUAGGAUGUUACAUUAUUGUACAUCCUCAGAUUAGGAACAUGGAUAAACCUAAAAAGAACCAAGGCUAGGAUGGUAUUCAACUAAUCAAAUAGAAACCAUCAUGACAUAUCAAUAUGUGGUUUCGAGACAUUCCAAACCACAUAAAUUUUGAAAUAUGUCGUAAGUAAUCUGGAAAAGUACCGAGCAACAAGGGAAUUGGAAUCUUAUCAUCAGAUAUUUCCCAACAUUAUGUAAAUAUUUUCAAAAAACAAAUUAUGAGUGGAGAGAAGGGCAUACAUUACCAUUAAUCACAUCACUCAUAAAAUUUCAUGUACCGAUGAAACUAGGAGAUGGCAGAGGAUUGAAACCUCAUUUUGAAAUGGCAAUCCCUUGAAACUGAUGCUAGGGUUCUACACAAAGAACAAUAGGGGCAUUCACGAUUAAAAACACAGCCUCAGGUUGGAGUUUUCUUGUCCUAUUUUUUACGGUAAGUACAAGUGUAAGGGAGUUCCUUUCUCAUACAGUGGAACCUUUAGUCCAAGUGGAACAAGUUCAGUAAUCAGCAUGUGGUGAGAAACAAGUAAGAUCGAGACUCACACUAGACUAGUAUUCGUGACAUCCCAUGAAGUAUAAAGCAUUAAAUACAAGAAAAUGGGUGGUAAAUACUCACAUUCCUUUGUCGUAAGGAUAAUAAAACCUUUCAGAAGUUGCCUUAAAUAUUUGCUCGUGCCAUAAUCUCAAGGAACAUAGUAGAAACCCCCCAAUUAUAACACACCACCUCUAGUCAAGAUUUCAACAAAAACACUUCGAUAGAAAAGAAACAGAAUGCAUAGAUUUCUCAUUGCACUUCUUACACGUCGUCCUCUGUCAAUAACAAUUAUCAUGGAACCAAGGGACUUGUGACGAUGUUUAAAUGACUGUCCGAAAGCUGUCUAUUCAUCUUUAUCACAGUCUAUUUCCAUAAUAAGCUUCAAAUAUUUGUACAUCCUUAGGGUUCCCAUUUGAGUUCAGGGGGCUACAUCAACAAGAAUAUCAUAUGUGUACAUGAAGGUUUAAUUUAGACACUGCUCAUAGGCUACAAACACCACACUAGGCUACCAAAAAUGCAUGAUAUCCCAUAAAGCACUCCCAGAACUGCCAAUAUCAGUACAACUCUGCCAGUGCUUAAUGUUAGCAUCAGCUCAAACUGCACCAGAAUUUAAGAAGCAGACCCCAGAAAUGUUCCUCCAAAUGGACUAUGGACUAUUUGAUAGAUCAUCAUAAAUCAGUGGUACAUUAAUAGAAAUUCAUCUUAGAAUUUCAGCAAAGGCUUGUACUUUUGUCCUCGUAUAUUUAUGGUAAACCCCAACGUACGGACCUUGAACCGGUUCCCAUCUAGGAUCCUACAGAUAGAAAGCUCAUCCAAAGGACAGAAGGGCAACCGUACGAAUGUUGUCAUAGUAUAUUUAUGGGAAACCAGAUUUUAGACUUUGAAUAGGUUCUCGUCUAGGACCCUAUAGACAAAAAGCUCGUACAAAGGGCAGAAGAGCAACCGAACGACUUUUUUCAUAGCAAAUUUCUUGCAAACCAGCUUACCAACCUUGUAUAUGUUCCCAUCUAGGACACUAUGGACAAAAGGGUCGUCCAAAGAGCAGAUGGACAACUGAAAGAUUGUUGUCAGGUAUAUCUCAGGUAAACCGCCAACUUAUGAUUUCCACUUCAGCAAUCAUCAAAUUUCAAACUAACAAAGGCAAAAAAACGGUGUAGGCAAGGGAUUCCACCUAAGACUGAUGAAAACUUAUUCUUGAAAAUUUUGAAUUUCAUCCUAGCCUUGGUUCUUUUGUUACCAAAACAAUAAGAAUUCAAACACCGAAAUGGCACAAAUGGAUCAAUAAUCAAAUAGAAACCAGCCAUAACAAAUCAAUCUGUGGUUUCGACUUUCAAGACAUCCCGAACAAGAUGAAUUUUGAAAUAUGACGCAAGUACUUUAUAAAAGAACCCAGAACCAAGGGAAUUGGAACCUUCUCCUCAACAUAUUUCCCAACAUCGUGUAAAUAUUUUCAGAAAACAACUUAUGUGUGGAGAGUAACAUUAAUACAUCACACUCGUAGAGUUUCAUGAUCCGACGAAACUAGGAGAUAGCAGAUGAUUGAAAUCUCCUUUUCAAAUGGAAAUUCCUUGAAACCCUAAUUUUACAUAAGUAAAGAUAAGAAUUUUAUCGAAACCGAUGCUAGGGUUUCUACACAACGAACAAAAGAGAGGCAUUUCACGAUAAAAAAUAAACAGCCUCGGGCACCGACUUGAUGAUGUGAAACCCACAUGACAUUCCAAUGUUUCCAAGAAGUUAAAUUCCAAGACAGACGAUGAGAGAUUGUGAAAGAACCCACAAACCAAGGGGUUCAUUGAAAAACCAAACUAUCGAUGUAGAAGAAACGAGAUAGAUUACCAUUAAUUAAUCAUAUAGUUUCAUGAUAAUCUAGGAACGAAAGAGGACAAAAGAUUGAAUCCUUGUUUAUGAACUGCAACUCAUGAAACCCUUGAUUCAUAUAAACAGAACCGAGAAGCGCCAAAUUCUCUGAAUGAAUCAGAAACCCACAUGGCGACAUGCCAUUCCAACGUUUCCAAUAAGGUAAAUUCCAAAACAAACAACCAGAAAUUGUGAAAAAAAAACCCACAAAAAGCAAGGGUAACCUCCGAUGAAAAGCAUUAUUUACCUAUAUAUGAUGAUUACAAUGCCAGUUGAGAAAGCAAACUGUCGGUGGGGAAGAAAGGAGAGGACUUACCAUAUAUUUAUCAUAUAAAAUGAUCACAAACGAUGGAAUAAGGUAGUGCAGAAGAUUGAAUCCUCCUUUACGAACUGAAACUCCUGAACCCUUAUCUUGUUGAUAUGUACAGAGAAAGAAAAUAGAAAAGGACGAGAGAGAUGAGAAACGAACAGAGCAAGGGAAACAGUAGACGCCACCCACGUAAUGAAGUAAUAAAAUAUAAAGAGAUGAGCGUUGCAUGUUACCGUUUUCUUGUCCUUUGUUCUUCCGAGUUCCGUCUUGUUACCAAAGUUACAAUUUUAAUAAUACACCGUGUGUUGUUUUAGCGGGCCAAAGGCCC
rnacentral:lncRNA from 1 species